rnacentral:rRNA from 1 species
UGGGGAAUAUUGCACAAUGGGGGAAACCCUGAUGCAGCGAUGCCGCGUGGAGGAAGAAGGUUUUCGGAUUGUAAACUCCUGUCUUAAAGGACGAUAAUGACGGUACUUUAGGAGGAAGCUCCGGCUAACUACGUGCCAGCAGCCGCGGUAAUACGUAGGGAGCGAGCGUUGUCCGGAAUUACUGGGUGUAAAGGGAGCGUAGGCGGGACGGCAAGUCAGAUGUGAAAUACAUGGGCUCAACCCAUGGGCUGCAUUUGAAACUGCUGUUCUUGAGUGAAGUAGAGGUAAGCGGAAUUCCUGGUGUAGCGGUGAAAUGCGUAGAUAUCAGGAGGAACACCGGUGGCGAAGGCGGCUUACUGGGCUUUUACUGACGCUGAGGCUCGAAAGCGUGGGGAGCAAACA